CCAGACUCCUACGGGAGGCAGCAGUGGGGAAUAUUGCACAAUGGGCGAAAGCCUGAUGCAGCAACGCCGCGUGAAGGAAGAAGGGUUUCGGCUCGUAAACUUCUAUCAACAGGGACGAAAGAAAUGACGGUACCUGAAUAAGAAGCCCCGGCUAAUUACGUGCCAGCAGCCGCGGGAAUACGUAAGGGGCAAGCGUUAUCCGGAUUUACUGGGUGUAAAGGGUGAGUAGGCGGCGAUGCAAGUCAUAUGUGAAAUUCCGGGGCUUAACUCCGGAGCUGCAUAAGAAACUGCGUUGCUUGAGUGCAGGAGAGGCAAGCGGAAUUCCUAGUGUAGCGGUGAAAUGCGUAGAUAUUAGGAAGAACACCGGUGGCGAAGGCGGCUUGCUGGACUGUAACUGACGCUGAGUCGCGAAAGCGUGGGGAGCGAACAGGAUUAGAUACCCCGGUAAA
rnacentral:rRNA from 1 species